rnacentral:lncRNA from 1 species
UUUUAUUACAGUCAUUUUGCCGUGUAACAGCAGUUGUGCAAUUAUAACGUCUAAAUUACCACAGUCGACUGCAGUUCCUGCACUUUUACUGUAGUAAUGAAAAACAUGUAAGGGCCUCCAGUCCAGCAGGUGUCGAUAAACUCCGAAAUACGCCGUGCAGACCAACAACAUCAUAGUGAGUGUGUCAUUGCCGAUCUUUCGGUUUACUACAGUACACUCAGUUUGUAAUGAUAAUUUCUAGUUGCUAGAAAUAUAAUUUUGAAAAUACAGCCUUUAAGAGUGUUUCUGAGCGAGCGACUAACAGUGGUCGCUGUGGAGAUACACGCUGUGGUUGAAAAAACGAUAGCCGAGUAUCAGGCAGAUGUUUCCCUUUCAUAGGGGGAGAUCCGGCGUUUACGGAUGCUGCUGAAAUUGCAAAGAGCAGGUGAGUCAAUUUAGCUGAAGGUAGCUAGCUAAUUUAACUAGAUUAUUCAAACGCUAAACGAAUAGUAAUCGGGAUACAUCUCUUGCUAAAAUACAUAACAUACGUCAUGCAUUUAGGUUUUCAAUAGGCCUAGCCGAUCUGUUUCGCAAAUCCUUUCUCCUUCCCUCCGUCCAGACCCCCAGCUUCUCACUCUGCCCGCCGUGGAUAAUCGCCCUGCGCUGCUGGUGCAUGAGCAGAUGUGUCUGGGCCAGAAGGACCCAGAGCCCUUACAGAAUACAGGGGAAAAAGAGCUCAGUCAGGACAAUGAGCAGUUUCAAGAAUUGCAGACUGACAUCAAAGAGUUUGUCAUAGUCACUUUUCUCAUAGAGAUGAUUGAAUAUGACCAGGAGGACCCCACUCAGCCUUCACAUCUUUACCAAGCCCCAAUUGAGGAAAAUGUAGAGAUGGAUACACUACACAGCGACUCGUAUGAACAGAUUGAUACAGGGUCUGAUGGAGAGGGCAAUGUAGAAUCAGAACCAACAACCAGAAACUACUGUUUUGCAGCUCUGGAUGUAAGCUGUGAAAGGAUGGAGAAUGGAGGAGAAAGAUCCCAUCAGAAGUCAACUGCUCAAGGUCAUUCGGGUCCACGUUGUAAGGUUAGCGUGAGUGACGACGAUGAGGCAUUCGAGAGACAAAUAACUGUCCUGGAGAAAGAAAACAGAAGGCUGGAGAAGGACCAGUAUCAGCACCAGUAUUGGAACCGAGCAUCCAAAACAGACUGA